CCGUCAGACGAACGCUGGCGGCGUGCUUAACACAUGCAAGUCGAACGAUGAAGCCCUUCGGGGUGGAUUAGUGGCGAACGGGUGAGUAACACGUGGGCAAUCUGCCCUUCACUCUGGGACAAGCCCUGGAAACGGGGUCUAAUACCGGAUAACACUCUGUCCCGCAUGGGACGGGGUUAAAAGCUCCGGCGGUGAAGGAUGAGCCCGCGGCCUAUCAGCUUGUUGGUGGGGUGAUGGCCUACCAAGGCGACGACGGGUAGCCGGCCUGAGAGGGCGACCGGCCACACUGGGACUGAGACACGGCCCAGACUCCUACGGGAGGCAGCAGUGGGGAAUAUUGCACAAUGGGCGAAAGCCUGAUGCAGCGACGCCGCGUGAGGGAUGACGGCCUUCGGGUUGUAAACCUCUUUCAGCAGGGAAGAAGCGAAAGUGACGGUACCUGCAGAAGAAGCGCCGGCUAACUACGUGCCAGCAGCCGCGGUAAUACGUAGGGCGCAAGCGUUGUCCGGAAUUAUUGGGCGUAAAGAGCUCGUAGGCGGCUUGUUGCGUCGGUUGUGAAAGCCCGGGGCUUAACCCCGGGUCUGCAGUCGAUACGGGCAGGCUAGAGUGUGGUAGGGGAGAUCGGAAUUCCUGGUGUAGCGGUGAAAUGCGCAGAUAUCAGGAGGAACACCGGUGGCGAAGGCGGAUCUCUGGGCCAUUACUGACGCUGAGGAGCGAAAGCGUGGGGAGCGAACAGGAUUAGAUACCCUGGUAGUCCACGCCGUAAACGUUGGGAACUAGGUGUUGGCGACAUUCCACGUCGUCGGUGCCGCAGCUAACGCAUUAAGUCCCCGCCUUGA
rnacentral:rRNA from 1 species